rnacentral:rRNA from 1 species
CUACGGGAAACUGUAGCUAAUACCGCGUAGAAUCGGAAGAUGAAAGUGUGGGACCUUCGGGCCACAUGCCAUAGGAUGAGCCCAAGUGGGAUUAGGUAGUUGGUGAGGUAAAGGCUCACCAAGCCGACGAUCUCUAGCUGGUCUGAGAGGAUGACCAGCCACACUGGGACUGAGACACGGCCCAGACUCCUACGGGAGGCAGCAGUGGGGAAUAUUGCGCAAUGGGGGCGACCCUGACGCAGCCAUGCCGCGUGAAUGAAGAAGGCCUUCGGGUUGUAAAGUUCUUUCGGUAUUUAGGAAGGCAUUUAGUUUAAUAGACUAGGUGAUUGACGUUAACUACAGAAGAAGCACCGGCUAACUCCGUGCCAGCAGCCGCGGUAAUACGGAGGGUGCGAGCGUUAAUCGGAAUAACUGGGCGUAAAGGGCACGCAGGCGGUGACUUAAGUGAGGUGUGAAAGCCCCGGGCUUAACCUGGGAAUUGCAUUUCAUACUGGGUCGCUAGAGUACUUUAGGGAGGGGUAGAAUUCCACGUGUAGCGGUGAAAUGCGUAGAGAUGUGGAGGAAUACCGAAGGCGAAGGCAGCCCCUUGGGAAUGUACUGACGCUCAUGUGCGAAAGC